UAGAUCGGCGUCGGCGACUGCUACGGAAUGCCCAUCAACCACGAAGUUUCCGCCGGCAUGAGCGGUAUUCGGACGGCCGGAGAUCUGGUCGCCCGG
rnacentral:ncRNA from 1 species